AUACGGAGGAUGCAAGCGUUAUCCGGAUUUAUUGGGUUUAAAGGGAGCGUAGGUGGGAUAUUAAGUCAGCUGUGAAAGUUUGGGGCUCAACCUUAAAAUUGCAGUUGAUACUGGUUUCCUUGAGUACGGUACAGGUGGGCGGAAUUCGUGGUGUAGCGGUGAAAUGCUUAGAUAUCACGAAGAACUCCGAUCGCGAAGGCAGCUCACCGGGCCGGAACUGACACUGAUGCUCGAAAGUGCGGGUAUCAAACAGGAUUAGAUACCCUGGUAGUCCGCACAGUAAACGAUGAAUACUCGCUGUUUGCGAUACACGGUAAGCGGCCAAGCGAAAGCGUUAAGUAUUCCACCUGGGGAGUACGCCGGCAACGGUGAAACUCAAAUGAAUUGACGGGG
rnacentral:rRNA from 1 species